GAUAAACGCUAGCGGCAGGCUUAACACAUGCAAGUCGAGGGGCAGCAUAGAUUGUAGCAAUACAAUUGGUGGCGACCGGCGCACGGGUGCGUAACGCGUAUGCAACCUACCCGUCACAGGGGGAUAAUCCGGAGAAAUCUGGUCUAAUACCCCAUAACAUAUGGAUCGGCAUCGGUUCAUGCUGAAAUUUUCGGAGGUGACGGAUGGGCAUGCGUAGCAUUAGCUUGUUGGUGAGGUAACGGCUCACCAAGGCGACGAUGCUUAGGGGGACUGAGAGGUUUUCCCCCACACUGGUACUGAGACACGGACCAGACUCCGACGGGAGGCAGCAGUGAGGAAUAUUGGUCAAUGGGCGCAAGCCUGAACCAGCCAUGCCGCGUGCAGGAUGACGGCUCUAUGAGUUGUAGACUGCUUUUGUACGAGGGUAAAGUGGGUUACGUGUAACCUUUUGAAAGUAUCGUACGAAUAAGGAUCGGCUAACUCCGUGCCAGCCGCCGCCGUAA
rnacentral:rRNA from 1 species